rnacentral:rRNA from 1 species
UACGGAGGGGGCUAGCGUUAUUCGGAAUUACUGGGCGUAAAGCGCACGUAGGCGGAUUGGAAAGUCAGAGGUGAAAUCCCAGGGCUCAACCUUGGAACUGCCUUUGAAACUCCCAGUCUUGAGGUCGUGAGAGGUGAGUGGAAUUCCGAAUGUAGAGGUGAAAUUCGUAGAUAUUCGGAGGAACACCAGUGGCGAAGGCGGCUCACUGGCACGAUACUGACGCUGAGGCGCGAGAGCGUGGGGAACGAACUGG